rnacentral:rRNA from 1 species
UACGUAGGGGGCAAGCGUUGUCCGGAUUUAUUGGGACGUAAAGAGCUCGUAGGCGGCUUACCAAGUCGGGUGUGAAACCUCCAGGCUCAACCUGGAAGCUCGGCCACUCGAUACUGGUAUGGCUUGAGUCCGGUAGGGGACCACGGAAUUCCUGGUGUAGGCGGUGAAAUGCGCAGAUAUCAGGAGGAACACCAGUGGCGAAGGCGGUGGUCUGGGCCGGAACUGACCGCUGAGGCGCGAAAGCGUGGGGAGCGAACAGGA